GUGAAAAAUAUAAAGGUGGAAGAGAUGGAUGAUGCUAACAAUAGACCAACGGUGUAUGGGUUCUAUGAAAAUCCAUCUCUUGAUGUUCUUGCAACUUCUUCUGAAGCUUACAUAACCUCUCUUCCUGCAAACACUAAUAAGCAAUGGAUAUAUUACUUGAAUCAAGGGUCUCAAAUAAACAUAUCAUAUAGUGUCAAGUCCUUAAGUUCGUUUGGUUUAGUCCUUAUUAUUGC
rnacentral:misc_RNA from 1 species